rnacentral:rRNA from 1 species
GACGAACGCUGGCGGCGUGCCUAAUACAUGCAAGUCGAGCGGACGAAUCGAAAGCUUGCUUUUGAUUCGUUAGCGGCGGACGGGUGAGUAACACGUGGGCAACCUGCCCUGUAGACGGGGAUAACACCGAGAAAUCGGUGCUAAUACCGGAUAACACGAAAUGUCGCAUGACGUUUCGUUGAAAGACGGCGCAAGCUGUCGCUACAGGAUGGGCCCGCGGCGCAUUAGCUAGUUGGUGAGGUAACGGCUCACCAAGGCGACGAGGCGUAGCCGACCUGAGAGGGUGAUCGGCCACACUGGGACUGAGACACGGCCCAGACUCCUACGGGAGGCAGCAGUAGGGAAUCUUCCGCAAUGGACGAAAGUCUGACGGAGCAACGCCGCGUGAGCGAAGAAGGCCUUCGGGUCGUAAAGCUCUGUUGUUAGGGAAGAACAAGUAACGCAGUAACUGGCGUUACCGUGACGGUACCUAACGAGAAAGCCACGGCUAACUACGUG